rnacentral:rRNA from 1 species
GGGUUGUGAGGUUAAGCGACUAAGCGUACACGGUGGAUGCCCUGGCAGUCAGAGGCGAUGAAGGGCGUGCUAAUCUGCGAUAAGCGCCGGUAAGGUGAUAUGAACCGUUAUAACCGGCGAUACCCGAAUGGGGAAACCCAGUGUGAUUCGUCACACUAUCAUUAACUGAAUCCAUAGGUUAAUGAGGCGAACCGGGGGAACUGAAACAUCUAAGUACCCCGAGGAAAAGAAAUCAACCGAGAUUCCCCCAGUAGCGGCGAGCGAACGGGGAGGAGCCCAGAGCCUGAAUCAGCAUGUGUGUUAGUGGAAGCGUCUGGAAAGGUGCGCGAUACAGGGUGACAGCCCCGUACACAAAAGCGCAUGUGCUGUGAGCUCGAUGAGUAGGGCGGGACACGUGAUAUCCUGUCUGAAUAUGGGGGGACCAUCCUCCAAGGCUAAAUACUCCUGACUGACCGAUAGUGAACCAGUACCGUGAGGGAAAGGCGAAAAGAACCCCGGCGAGGGGAGUGAAAAAGAACCUGAAACCGUGUACGUACAAGCAGUGGGAGCACAGGUUUACCUGUGUGACUGCGUACCUUUUGUAUAAUGGGUCAGCGACUUAUAUUCUGUAGCAAGGUUAACCGUAUAGGGGAGCCGUAGGGAAACCGAGUCUUAACCGGGCGUUAAGUUGCAGGGUAUAGACCCGAAACCCGGUGAUCUAGCCAUGGGCAGGUUGAAGGUUGGGUAACACUAACUGGAGGACCGAACCGACUAAUGUUGAAAAAUUAGCGGAUGACCUGUGGCUGGGGGUGAAAGGCCAAUCAAACCGGGAGAUAGCUGGUUCUCCCCGAAAGCUAUUUAGGUAGCGCCUCGUGAAUUCAUCUCCGGGGGUAGAGCACUGUUUCGGCUAGGGGGCCAUCCCGGCUUACCAACCCGAUGCAAACUGCGAAUACCGGAGAAUGUUAUCACGGGAGACACACGGCGGGUGCUAACGUCCGUCGUGAAGAGGGAAACAACCCAGACCGCCAGCUAAGGUCCCAAAGUCAUGGUUAAGUGGGAAACGAUGUGGGAAGGCCCAGACAGCCAGGAUGUUGGCUUAGAAGCAGCCAUCAUUUAAAGAAAGCGUAAUAGCUCACUGGUCGAGUCGGCCUGCGCGGAAGAUGUAACGGGGCUAAACCAUGCACCGAAGCUGCGGCAGCGAACGUAUCACCCAAGACAACUUUACGGAGUUGACGAUUGACGGAGCGAAGCGACGUCAAAGCGUUCAUUAAAGUCGAGUUGGCUUAGGGAUACGUUCGUUGGGUAGGGGAGCGUUCUGUAAGCCUGUGAAGGUGUGUCGUGAGGCAUGCUGGAGGUAUCAGAAGUGCGAAUGCUGACAUAAGUAACGAUAAAGCGGGUGAAAAGCCCGCUCGCCGGAAGACCAAGGGUUCCUGUCCAACGUUAAUCGGGGCAGGGUGAGUCGACCCCUAAGGCGAGGCCGAAAGGCGUAGUCGAU